GGGGUGGUGGCGCAGUUGGCUAGCGCGUAGGUCUCAUAGAUCCUGAGGUCGAGAGUUCGAGCCUCUCUCACCCCA
rnacentral:tRNA from 1 species